GAUGAACGCUGGCGGCGUGCCUAAUACAUGCAAGUCGAGCGAACAGACGAGAGUGCUUGCACUCUCUGACGUUAGCGGCGGACGGGUGAGUAACACGUGGGUAACCUACCUAUAAGACUGGGAUAACUUCGGGAAACCGGAGCUAAUACCGGAUAAUAUUUAGCUUCGCAUGAAGCAAUAGUGAAAGACGGUUCUGCUGUCACUUAUAGAUGGACCCGCGGUGUAUUAGCUAGUUGGUGAGGUAACGGCUCACCAAGGCAACGAUACAUAGCCGACCGGCGAGGGGGAGCGGCCACACUGGGACUGAGACACGGCCCAGACUCCUACGGGAGGCAGCAGUAGGGAAUCGUCCGCAAUGGACGAAAGUCUGACGGAGCAAUGCCGCGUGAGUGAAGAAGGUUUUCGGAGCGUAAAACUCUGUUGUAAGGGAAGAACAAGUACGUUAGUAACUGAACGUACCUUGACGGUACCUUACCAGAAAGCCACGGCUAACUACGUG
rnacentral:rRNA from 1 species